ACUCAAAUGAAUAGACGGGGGCCCGCACAAGCGGUGGAGCAUGUGGUUCAAUUCGACGCAACGCGCAGAACCUUACCCGGUCUUGACAUCCUGGGAACUUCUCAGAGAUGAGUUGGUGCCCGCAAGGGAACCCAGAGACAGGUGCUGCAUGGCUGUCGUCAGCUCGUGUCGUGAGAUGUUAGGUUAAGUCCUGCAACGAGCGCAACCCCUGCCCUUAGUUGCCAUCAUUAAGUUGGGCACUCUAAGGGGACUGCCGGUGUUAAACCGGAGGAAGGUGGGGAUGACGUCAAGUCCUCAUGGCCUUUAUGACCGGGGCUACACACGUGCUACAAUGGCCGGUACAAAGCGUCGCAAACCCGCGAGGGGGAGCCAAUCGCAAAAAACCGGUCUCAGUUCGGAUUGGACUCUGCAACUCGAGUCCAUGAAGUCGGAAUCGCUAGUAAUCGAAGAUCAGCACGCUUCGGUGAAUACGUUCCCGGGCCUUGUACACACCGCCCGU
rnacentral:rRNA from 1 species